CGAUGAUCUCCCGCUUGCGGGGGUGAUUAGUGGCGAACGGGUGAGUAAUACGUGAGUAACCUGCCCUUGACUCUGGGAUAAGCCUGGGAAACCGGGUCUAAUACUGGAUACGACUCCUCAUCGCAUGGUGGGGGGUGGAAAGGGUUUGACUGGUUUUGGAUGGGCUCACGGCCUAUCAGCUUGUUGGUGGGGUAAUGGCUCACCAAGGCGACGACGGGUAGCCGGCCUGAGAGGGUGACCGGCCACACUGGGACUGAGACACGGCCCAGACUCCUACGGGAGGCAGCAGUGGGGAAUAUUGCACAAUGGGCGCAAGCCUGAUGCAGCGACGCCGCGUGAGGGAUGACGGCCUUCGGGUUGUAAACCUCUUUCAGCAGGGAAGAAGCCACAAGUGACGGUACCUGCAGAAGAAGCGCCGGCUAACUACGUGCCAGCAGCCGCGGUAAUACGUAGGGCGCAAGCGUUGUCCGGAAUUAUUGGGCGUAAAGAGCUCGUAGGCGGUUUGUCGCGUCUGCUGUGAAAGCCCGGGGCUCAACCCCGGGUCUGCAGUGGGUACGGGCAGACUAGAGUGCAGUAGGGGAGACUGGAAUUCCUGGUGUAGCGGUGAAAUGCGCAGAUAUCAGGAGGAACACCGAUGGCGAAGGCAGGUCUCUGGGCUGUUACUGACGCUGAGGAGCGAAAGCAUGGGGAGCGAACAGGAUUAGAUACCCUGGUAGUCCAUGCCGUAAACGUUGGGCACUAGGUGUGGGGGACAUUCCACGUUCUCCGCGCCGUAGCUAACGCAUUAAGUGCCCCGCCUGGGGAGUAC
rnacentral:rRNA from 1 species